rnacentral:misc_RNA from 1 species
UUUUAGCCCAGAUGGUAGAGAAAAGCCCGGAGCUAAAAAAACUAAUUUUUCUUGCCGAAAAACAGCGACCAGCGGAAGCCCGUUUUAUGGUUAGAAAAAUAGUUUUUUUAGCGAGGACUUGAAACGACAGCUGGAAUAGCU